GUAAGGAAUAUUGGUCAAUGGGGGCAACCCUGAACCAGCCAUGCCGCGUGAAGGAUGAAGGCGUUAUGCGUUGUAAACUUCUUUUGUAUGGGAAGAAUGACAGGGAUUUAUCCUUGGAGAGACGGUACCAUACGAAUAAGCACCGGCUAACUCCGUGCCAGCAGCCGCGGUAAUACGGAGGGUGCAAGCGUUAUACGGAAUCACUGGGUUUAAAGGGUACGUAGGCGGUUCAUUAAGUUAGUCAGUAUUUAAAUACUGUCGCUCAUCGACGGAUGUGCUAUUGAUACUUGUUAACUUGAAUCAGUUUAGAUUUUGCGGAAUGUGUCAUGUAGCGGAGAAAUGCUUAGAUAUGACUUGGAACACCGAUAGCGAAGGCAGCUGACUGAGCCUUGAUUGACGCUGUGGUACGAAAGUGUGGGUAGCGAACAGGAUUAGAUACCCUAGUAGUCC
rnacentral:rRNA from 1 species